ensembl:lncRNA
UGCACAAAGUGCGGAGGGGGGCGGGGGGCUUCGGGGGACUUUAGACAGCAAGUUAAUCUGUAUCUCCCUGAUCUUACCGCCUGUCCGUCAAUCCAAGUGAAACAACGUAGGUGUAAUUUAGCAUGACGGCCUUCUGGGGGCAGCCGGGGUGAAGAGUUCACCGAGUGUGCGUCUGUGUGUGUGUGUGUGUGUGUGUGUGACUGAGGUACAGCAGCAGUCGGACUCAUAAUAUUUGUGGUGCAUUUAUGCAUAUUGGCAGAACUCGUCAUGACGGUAAGGACAGCGUCUGAGAGUUUGCCAAACACAGCAGCGAUUGUUCAGACUUGGGCAUCGAGAGGUCAAGUAACCGGAGGCACAAGCAUCUCCAUUCAAAGCAACAGAACUUCUUUUAUCCAGAUCCAAAACCCCGUCACAUUGGACCUACUGUCUCUUACUUACUGUGAGCUGACACUAAGAGAAUGUCUUUUGACAACGGUGAACAGGACUAAAAGCAGGAGGAUGACCUGGAGGGAGGGAGGGAGGGAUGGGGGGAUGGGAGGGGGGGGCAGAAAGGCAGAACAGAGCGAAGCCGCAGAGACUCGGGUGUGAUAAUGGAUUCCCACAUUAGGUCCUUGAAGGUCUGAUGAUGAAUGGGACGUGGCAGCGCCGCAUGGCCCCCAGAAGCAGAAGAUCUCUGUGCUUGGCGGUGGGCGCUCGGUCAGGAGGGAGGAGAGCGGGGGGGGGAGGGAGGGAGGGGUUGUUGAGUUGGGAGGAUUUGGGAGACAACCCCCCCACAGAUCACAGUGUGGAGUGGAAACACAUGGUUUCAAUGUGCAGCUCGUCGCGGCGGCGGCCACAAUUUUGCAGCUCUGGAAUUACUCAAUGGUUGAAAAUCACAAGAUUUCAACAUUUACUUCACACACCCUCCUUGUGUGUCUGUGUGUGCGUCUGUGUGUGCGUCUGUGUGUGUGUGCGUGAGCUGAAUUCCUGUAGAGUUCAUGAGCAACGAUGACUAAGAGCCCCUCGGUUUGAAAACCCUAAAUUACCUGCGAGGGGCGCGGAGACAGCAGCGACCUCGGAAGCUCUGCUGAGGACUUCAAACCAGCCGGGAGCUGCUUCAUGCAGGGAGGGGGGCAGAGUGGGGGGGGGGGGGGCGCAUUCAGACAGUAAAUUAAACCAUUUCACGAGCAAACAAUGACACAAUUUGUAAGUCAGUUUCUACCAAAGCCGACCGGUAUGAGUUAUGAGUUAUUCACACACACACACACACACACACAUGCACAGACACACACAACGUGCACAGACACACACAACGGCCACGCUAAUGUGCGGGAUGGAAUCCAGGUGGACGCAGCGGUCCUCCUUCGCUCCCAGCAGGCCGUUGGGGUUGAAAAGGUGAAAACAAGCAAAGACCUUAAGACGAGAGACGUUGACCUUUGGAUUGUGUUUGUUGGUCGACGCUCAGGCGUGAGCCCCAAGCCCCAGGGCAUGCUGGGAGUUUAACCAGGGGCAGGAGGUCACUGGGACGGGCAGCAGAGCAACAGAGGGUUAGAAUGGGGGGGCGUGAGAGGGGGGCAGCUUUUUUAUUUGCCCCAUGAUAAUUAUUUUUCCAUUUAAAACCAAUUAUGAAUCUCAGCCUUUGAUCUUCUGAUGCAGGAAAUAAGUCAAUUUACACUCAAGUUCCUUCCUAUUUUAUUUUGUAUUUAUACUCCACUAAAUCUAAGAGGUAAAUAUCGAUCUGACGAUGUUGAUGCUGAAUGUUUGUGAUGAACUGAAGGAUAAAGUGUUCCUUCUGUAAAGAGCCUCUGGAAACGUUUGUUCUUCUUAGAGAGCUCAUAGAAUCCGAUGCAUAGAUGUAGAAUAAACUAAACAAAGGAGGUCAAAUGCUACAUAUUGAUACAUAUUAAUCCAGAAAUAUUUAAACCUACGCUUUUAAAGGCAGGACAUUUACUAGCAGUAUGUGUGGUAUUCCUACUUUUACUCCACCAUCUGAAUACUUCUCCCACCGCUGCUGGUCUCCCCACAGCGGUUCUACAAUCUGGAGAAAACCUUCAGCUUCUCUCUCUUCUCUCUAGAACGGACAUCAGCUGAGCAGGUGGUGGGCGAGGACGGAGGACCGCUCCUCUUCUGGGCCGAUCCGCCUCGAGAAGGGAGCCAGAAGGCUGGCCUUUGACGCGCCGACAGCUCGCCGUGAGUGACGUGUGAUCCGUACGAAUUUCAGGACUAAUAAAUCCACCUGUCAGGGGAAGGAGACUUGAAAGGGCCGCCGCCCCGCGGCCGGGCUUAAACGCAACCGCUGUUGAUGAAAUUCUGCAGGCUUGCGGAAUUACAGCUGUCAGGAGAAAACGCCCACGUCAGAUCUGACGCCGGCUGCCUCCCUAACCUGUUCUCUGUCUCGCACUUCCUCCCCCCUCCCUCCCACCUACUUCCUCCCCUUUGUUUCUAACUGCAGAAUAUGUGUGACAUUAACUCGCCGUGGGAAUCGUCAUUUCACCGGCGGGGAAAUAUUCCUCUAAAUCCCCCUGUUAGUUCUUUCUCUCUCGCCACGAAGCACGAGGUUAAAUCACGUCGCACACAGCUGCUCUGCUUUUCCAUUUCACGGCGCCUCUAUUCCCUCCUCGCCGCUUUGAAGUUGGGGCUGGACUUUAGCCAGUGAGAGACAUAUUCACUGCCGCUGCGUGACAGCUAUAAACACAGUCUGAGGAGAGAAAGGCAUAAACCAGUCGAGCGUGUGCUCGCCGUAUUUACGGGUAAACGGGUGGAAAAGCCAUCGCUCUCUGUAAUCUGUCAUAACGGGGAUUUGCGGCGGUGCGACGCGAGGACCCCGUCCUCCCCGUCUCAUGCAGACAGACUUCGUGGGGUCACGCGGCGAUUCCACGUCAAUGGACACGGGAAUCAAUGUGGAAAAUGCUCACGGAAACUAUUAAUUUUAAAAUUUUAUUAAUUCCUGCUUUUACCUGAAUGAGAACCUGAAUUCAGACGGCGCUUUUGGCUAAAUGCUAACGACGCUUCGGCUAACAGGAAGUAUACUGAAAUAAAGGUAGAAAUACUACAGCCAAGAGAUACUCUGUUAGUUUUCCCUGUGCAGUUUAUAAUAACUUAUAUUGUAGUAUUAUUGAUGCUAACGUGAGCUAAUAUUGACUUAGCACGGCUGAGGUUUAUCGGCAGCUGAGCAGAUGUUACGAUAUUUCUUUAAAUGAAGUGGAACAACAUCUUAAAUUUAGUCUGCGUAUCAGGCAGAUCAAAGCUGGUGGCAGUUUGCAGUUUGCUUUAUUUGACUGACUGCUUGGAAUAACGUCUUGGAAGUUAAACUUAAUGGAACAUUUGUGCGGUCGGCUGUUUCAUUCUUUCUGCAGAGCCCUUCGCAUCCGAUUUGUCACGGGCCGCGCUUUGUGAAGAGGCAACGCCACUUAUUAAAAAAACAAAUAAAAAAAAACACCGACAGCGUCGAGUUCAUCCAGUACAACAAUUUACGUUCCACUCAAACAGCCUGUCGCGUUCCCACAGCUGAACGCCGGGACGGGACAAAGGGAAGAAGGGGGGAAAAAGUCCCGGGCAGCAGUUAGAAAAAAGGAGGGAGGGCGGCGGAGCGGGAGAGAGGGAGCGCUCCGGGGUCCGUCCUUCACUUCCACAUCUGGCCCUGAUAUUUCAGAGUUAAUUAGUCAUGCAGGGGUUGUGUGUAGAUAAAUCUAUCAUCCCGCCCUGCGCAAACCAUUUGAGAAAUGAAAGGAAGUGAGCAGAUACACGCAGUCCGAGCUCCUUCAUAAAUCACGGGCCCAGAUUAAAAACAGGCACUGCGGUGACGAGGGGGGAGGGAACAGGAAGGGGCGGAGCCUGGACCGUCCCGCACAAUAGCACACUGUCGUUCCGCCACAUGCGCUUACCGGAUGAUGUAUAAGUAUAUACAUCUAUAUAUAUUUCUGGAUGCUGGGUCUCCGACCUCAAAAUCUAUGGCGGCUUUGGUAAGAUGCUCAACAACGUGUUACAUUGUUGCAGUAAUAUAUAAACAAUAAGAAAACAGCCAAAAGCAUAUGGCACAGCAUGGAGAGUAUAUACAUACAUAUAUAUAGAUUUAACCCCCCGCGACCCCGGCGUUGUUGAAUGUUUACGCGGUGAAGAACAAACUCACUGGCAGGCGCGUUACUUGUGAGCGGACGGCGGACGGCGUCUCACUCAGCGGAGGAAGGCGGAGGUCACGAGGAAGAGGAAGAAGAAGAGGACUUUGGAGUGAGAAGAAAGGCCGCUCUGGGUGUGUGUGAGUGUGUUGGGAGAGCCGAGGGAGCAUCGCUGUGCUUACAGGAAUAAAAGCAAAUGGAUUAAAAGAUGUUUUUUGGUUCUUUAUGUGAACGAGAGAAGGAAUAAUAAUAAUAAUAAUAAGUGCUGCAGGAGGUCACUGCUAUUUAAAAAGAAGCUCCCUGCAGCUUUGAAUUGUUUUAAUUGGAUUUUCUCAAAAUGACACAGAUGCGUAAACUACAUGACAGUUGAGAGUCGAUGGGCUGAACUUUAAAUCACCUCCAGGUUUAAUUUAGGGUUUAGGAUUUAUGGAUUUAGAGGGUUUACGAUGGGGUGAGGGUGAAGGUUAUGAGAGGGACAAGGUCAGAGGUCAAGGCGGGGAAAGUGCUGAGUAUUAGCAGGAAUGUGUGUGUUCCAGGAGACGAUACGGUCUCCAAAGAGCUCGCAAACAUCGAGAAAUUUAAUAUAAAAAGGGCUUACAACUAAAUACGUAAGGAGGAACAGUCCGAUAGCUGCUGAGGGAUCAUAGAUAUGCACUUCAUACUUCAUACCACCAGAUUAAAGACAAUAUAUACAUGUAUAAAUAACAGCUGCAUCUACCUUCACCUCGUAAAAUCCUGCUUGCACAUUGAUGUCAGAGUGAUCUAAUAUUGUGUAAUUUAAUGACACAUAAUGUGUUUUAAAGAUCAUCGUUUUUUUUUAUCUCUGCUGCUUUGCAAAGUCCAGAUCGCGUCGCGUUUUUGUUCCAACGCGGCGUCCAGACUGGACAUGUGAGGCAGUCGAUAGCCAUCUGACCAGGAAACACUAAAUCACAGAAACCGCAGGGGGGCUACAGGCAGGGAGAAGGGGGGGGGGGGGGGGGGGGUGUAAAUCACACAUUACAAAGACCCUGCUGAAAGCUCAGGAACAUCGGUCCACCGUGACAUCGUUCCUCGCAGGCUGCCUUCAAAGCCGGCUCGGACAGGAAGCCCUCAUUCCCAGCUGAGAGGUGCAGCGGAAAAGUCCUGUUUGGAUGUGUUCGUCCUUCCCAAGGACGUGUGACUCCAUUGUGACGGCGCUCGGCGAGCUGAUGAAAAGAGAUCGCCGCGGCACAGGAACCGCAUUCGCGCCCGCGUGACCUCUGACCCGCACAAAGCUGUUGUCGUGGCGACAGCGAUGAUGGGUUUGUUGGUGUCAGGGUUGGUUUGGUUGCAAAGUAAAACAAAGGAAGACAAAGGAGUUUUUUCCAAACUAUCAACAGCUCUCUUGUCACCAGGGUGUGUUCUAGUUUGUGCGUGUGUUUGACCUUAUUGUGUAUUCACUUGGUAUUAAGGCAGCUGUAGUUCAUAUUUUAUAACCAUUUACAGGACCUUUCGUAUCUAAAAACUCUUUUAUCUUGUUAUCUAAUAAGACGAAGCGGCUCUACACACUGGUGCCUUGAGCUAAAUGCAAACACUCAGUUCUCACGCUCAAUAUUCGCUAAUUAUUUCUUAAGUUACUCUGUUUAUAACUUUGAUUUGACCCCAUGGGGUCGAUAAUCUGUUUUUUGCAACAACAACAACGCGUCAGAUUGCCAUGAAUUUGGGUCUGAAUCCCCGAGGAGGCUCUGUGAGACUGAUCAACAGCAGGAGGAGGACCAAAAUUACAGGUCAUAGUUAGUGAGGUGUUUAAGUUUAAGGGAAGUUUAAUCCACGUUAAAAAAGAGCUCGAGUCCUACAGGCUGAUUUUUUUUCUGGCAACGACCAGUCGAGUGUUGUCGAGGAGUCAGCCUCACCUGCUCCGCCUGUCACUCAGCGGUUGCCACAGCGAGUCGGCUGACACUUCGCCGACGCGGCGCUGCCAAAGUUCGCCCGCCGCGUCAAUCAUUCGCCUCUUCUUCCUCGGAGCGCCAAAGAAGUUGACGUCUCUGUAAGAUAUAAAAAAGCAAGCGUUGAUUUGUUUCAUUCAGGCUGUAAUUUCAGACCAGUGCAGAUUGCUGCGAAUACCUGGUGGUGGUGGGGAUGUUGGUGGAUGUGGUGUAGGUGGUGGUGAUGCUGGUGAUGCUGGUGGAUUUGGUGGAGGUGGUGGUGGUGGUGAUGCUGGUGGAGGUGAUGUUGGUGGAUUUGGUGGAGGUGGUGGUGGUGAUGUUGGUGGAUUUGGUGGAGGGGGUGGUGGUGAUGUUGGUGGAUUUGGUGGAGGUGGUGAUGGUGGUGGUGAUGUUGGUGGAUUUGGUGGAGGUGGUGGUGGUGAUGUUGGCGGAGGUGGUGAUGCUGGUGGAGGUGAUGUUGGUGGAUUUGGUGGAGGUGGUGGUGAUGUUGGUGGAUUUGGUGGAGGUGGUGGUAAUGCUGGUGGAGGUGAUGUUGGUGGAUUUGGUGGAGGUGGUGGUAAUGCUGGUGGAGGUGAUGUUGGUGGAUUUGGUGGUGGUGGUGGUGAUGUUGGUGGUGGUGGUGAUGGUGAUGGUGGUGAUGCUGGUGGAGGUGAUGCUGGUGGAGGUGAUGUUGGUGGAUUUGGUGGUGGUGGUGAUGCUGGUGGAGGCGAUGGCGCUGGUGGUGAUGCUCAUUUGGGUGCGUUUGAUUUGCCACCUCUCCGGGAUGCAUUAAGUGAACAUGAACCCCAUUAGCCCCGGAUCACCGGACUUGUUAGCAGCAGCACCUUCUGCAAUAACUUACAGCGCUUUCCUCUGGACAGAACGUGCUCCUUGUAGAGCGUAAUGGAAGUAAUCCAUCCUCCCUGUCAGUGCUGGAAAACACUUUGUUUUCUGUACAAAUGGUGUUUGGGUGGAAGUCGCUGGUUGGGGGUGGAGGUGUUUGGGAGGGGCAGGACAUUCUUCUGCUGUGUAUGUCUCACAUGCGCAGGUUUUGAGGGCAGAGGGAGUGAACGCAGUGAAGUCUGUUCCAUAUAUUCACCACGGCAUUAAAGUACAGAUAGAGAAGGUUAAACAGGAUAUAUUAACAAUGGGUAUAUAAAACGGAAAUAAUAAUAAUAAAAUAUAAAAUAUACAUCUGCAUUUGGCGACGAUUAACAGAUAUGAAAGUAUCAUUAUAAAAUAUAAUUAUGUUGUAGGAAUCCCAAGAAACGUGUUGUAAAAGCGCUUAAAGACAACUUCACUUCCCCAACAUGAGUCGAGCUCUCAUUAUACUGGAUCCCAUAAUAACCCCGAGGGCAUCAUUACGUUUAUGAGGAAUUAUAAGAUCCCGGUUGACAUUUCAAUGUUUAAUACUUAAAGUUUACCAAACCACAUGAAAGAGGUCCUCACACUGCUGCUUCACACUCUGCUGGUGAACAACAGCAGCUUUGAUGCAAGUCGAGCAUCUGAUAACUCCUCUCACGGUAAAUACCCUUUUCUGCUGGUUGGGGCAGUUAACUCUAUUAAACAUCUGCUGAGUGUUAUGGCGGCUCGUACCGAUAUCAGUGAAUAUAUCCAUUUAGCUCAAGCAGUAACCGUAAUGGCGUUAAUGUCCAUAUCUGCUGGAGCUUUUCUUCAGUCUAUUUCCAAAGAUAUCGUUCAUUCCGACCGUAUUAAAGCUCUCAGUGUGGAGACCAGUUUGUACAGGAAAUGAUGAACUACCUCCUGGAAAUUAAAGCAAGGCCAAAUACCACAUUUCAGCCUGGAAUGUAAUUUAUAGUCAGUUAAACAACAUUUGCUUACAAGAAAAACACCUUUUGAUUCGUAGACUCUUUUGCCGUUGCUUUAAUUUUAAUUAUUUUGGGCUAACUUUGUUUGUAUUCCAACUUUCAAAUCAAAGCACAACCAAAAAAACAUAAAUUUUUCUUCCAUCCUUCUCCCACUUACCUCCUCCUCUUUCUCACAUCUACCUACUCUCCCCCCUCAUUCCUCCCAACUGCAUCUCCCUCAGCCCCCACAGGCCCCUCCAUAAAUCCUGGGACAGCAGCGCUUUAAUGGAUAAUUAAUUGAUGCCGCUGCAGCACUGUAAUAAGACAAUAAAUUACGACACAGGGCGGUGUGCUGUGUCAGUGUGUGUUGCUAAUGGCCCUUCAGGGCCGGGGCAGGAGGCUAAUAAAUUAGACAGGUAUUAACUGUUGUGUGCUAAGUAGCCCUCCACCGCAGAAUGCCAUGAGCGCCGAACGGGGAAGCAAGAACAAGACAAGGAUGAAUUUAAAGUGAAAUUAAAAACUGUUUUUGACAAGAAAUCUGUACAUUUCCAAUUGUGUGAUUUUGUUAAAAGUUUUCAUUAUUUUUCUGAAGCAGUGGAGCCACAAAUUUGUAAUUCGUCAUUUGGUUCGGUUGGUAUCGAGCACUAAAACCAAUCCGUCACUUCAGGUGCAACGACCUCACACGUAGGAGCUAAAUGCUAACGCCAGCAUGCUAACACGCUCAUAAAUGACCAUGGGUCAACUUUAGCGGUAUUUUAGCGCGCUUGAUGUUCACCACUUUGACCGCGCGGGUUUAGCUUGCUAGCAUGUUAGCAUUGGCUAAUCAGCGCCAAACGCAAAAAUUGGUUUCACAGGUAUUCGAGUUACAAACAGGACAUUUUGACCUGACCAUUGCGAUGCAAACUUAAUACAAUAAUUCUUCAAUAUGGCAACAUAAAUAAAAAAGAACGCUUCAGCAGUUUAGACCAUCGACCUCUAGAUCGGUUGGAUAAAACGCCGCGGCCUCGCCGGUGUGAAGCUCUCACCGCGCUGAGCGUAAAGGAUCGUGCCGCUUUCCCAAAGAGGGAAAUCCCAGCUUAGCAAACGAGGCCAACGCCUCCCGCUCGGGAAACGUGGAAUUUUCGGCAGAUAGCCUCUAAUCCCAUUUUAAUGGUUGUCUGAUUAAGAGGUGAGAAGGAUUAGGGCGCGACUGUGUUGCGCGGUAAACAUUCACCACGUACGCGCCGGCUUGCGAGGCGCCGGUGGAAAAUUACUUAUACGGGAGAAACAAAGAGAAAGGGACAAAUCUCAGGGAUUAGGAGUGAGCAUGAAGAGGAAGAGAAACGACGGCUCAGUUCUGUCGUUCCAAUUAAAAAUGCUGCAAAUCUCUCAUCUCCUAAUGUUGGCCCUAACGAGCGUGACUCGCUGGCAGUUAUGCAGAUAAAAACUCCUCCUGAUUGAUUCCACCCGCACGUCCAAAUUAGUUUCACUCCAGCUUAUUGAUCACAACCCGCCGGUUGCAAACCGUUGAUUAAUAACGAUAAUAAAAGUGCAAUAGAUUGUUGGAAUCAACCACACGAGGCUGAACAACGUGAGAGUUUUCCCAGCUCGCAUCUGAAAACGUGUAAAUAUUGAUCUUGUAGUCUCUAUUAAAUCUUUCACUUCCGGUUCCCCUCAAAGUCGCAGGUGUUUUUGAGUCUGAAGAUGUCUGAAAGGUGGCUGCUUGAGGCAAGCGUAAGAGAUUUUAAAGUUUUAUUCUAAACGAUGGAAGCUUCAGUAAAUCAAACGUUCAAGGAUCAUACGAGUUCGUUUGAGGGAAACAGGGAGACGCUGACGAAAAUACUUCAUCACUGCAGCACUCGAUUGUGUGAACUAAUUCAGCAGAUAAAUGUCCUCCCACACACACACACACACACACACACACACACACACACACACUACAUAAUAAUAAUAAUAUCAAUAAUAACGCAUUCGCAGUUUUCUGCCCACAAUCAUUCCCCCGAUUGACGUGUUCAUCCGUUAAUCUCAUUACAUGUGUGUGAUUGUUUUUUUAUUGACACACGCGGUUCUCUGUCCGUCCUCUGAAUGGUGCGUUCAUGAAUCGAAAUGAGUUUAUAUCUGUUGUGAGCUAAAAGACUAAAGAGCAGGUGAAGGUGCGUUAAAAAAACGUUUUCCUUACUUUGUCUUUUGUCCCUUUUAUGUUGUUGCCCCACCCCCCUUAACUCUCCCCCCUUAGCCUCCACCUCGCUCCACGCUGGCACAUCCAACCUUCCCUUGAAUGCCACUGGGGGUGGGGGGACGUGGGGGGGACGUGGGAGGUGGGGGGCAAGUGACGGUGCAUGAUGACAGAGCCGUGUGACGGGGUCACAGCCACAGCCUCGCCUCUGCAGAGGAGCGCUUAAUACAUCAUCCCCCGGACAACGGGUGACACCCCCCCCCCCCGGAAGACGGAGUGCCCGGUGCCGAGCUCUCGCAGCCCUGAGACAUUCCUCCUUAUUUUAUUUAUUUUUGCGUCAGGCCGUCUAAUAAAGCGGGGGCGGGAUGGAGGGACGGCGUAUCGGAGCCGAGGGAGGAUGAAGCAUCUCGCACUGAUGUAAUAUGGCUUAUAAAUCUAAUUUAAUUACCCAGCGUGGGGACAGGCCGGAGAAGCCAUGACUGGAUUUAUUGUGUCUUAACUUGGCAUCUUAACGACUUUGUGCUUUUAAUAUCAUUACCCUGUAAUUUAUUCUCUUUCGUGCACACACACACACACACACACACACACACACACAGUGCAGUGAUAAUCUUUUUAAGCAGGCAGCUUUACGGAUCGUAGGACUCCAGAGCUGUGACAGCUAUUGAUCCAUAAACUCCCGCUUUGACUCGUCCCACGCCGUCCCCCCCAGCCAUCAAGGUGAAGUCGCCGCGGCGGGCUCCUUUUAACGCUUACAGCUACAUUUCCCCACCGAUGUGGAAUCAACCAGCUUAUUGCGAAGAGGGCGAGUUAAAGUGCAAAAAAAAAGGGUUGAUUGACACUUCAGACCAUUUUUAACCGCUUGCAAUUGUCACUAAAUUUCUUUUUAAAGUGUCCGUGAAACUUUGCA